rnacentral:rRNA from 1 species
CCUGGCUCAGGACGAACGCUGGCGGCGUGCCUAAUACAUGCAAGUCGAGCGGAAUUGAAGGGAGCUUGCUCCCUGAUAUUAGCGGCGGACGGGUGAGUAACACGUGGGCAACCUGCCCUGCAGAUGGGGAUAACUCCGGGAAACCGGGGCUAAUACCGAAUAAUCGGUUCUUCCGCAUGGAAGAACUCUGAAAGACGGUUUCGGCUGUCACUGCAGGAUGGGCCCGCGGCGCAUUAGCUAGUUGGUGGGGUAACGGCCUACCAAGGCGACGAUGCGUAGCCGACCUGAGAGGGUGAUCGGCCACACUGGGACUGAGACACGGCCCAGACUCCUACGGGAGGCAGCAGUAGGGAAUCUUCCACAAUGGACGAAAGUCUGAUGGAGCAACGCCGCGUGAGCGAAGAAGGUUUUCGGAUCGUAAAGCUCUGUUGCGAGGGAAGAACAAGUACGGGAGUAACUGCCCGUACCUUGACGGUACCUCGUCAGAAAGCCACGGCUAACUACGUGCCAGCAGCCGCGGUAAUACGUAGGUGGCAAGCGUUGUCCGGAAUUAUUGGGCGUAAAGCGCGCGCAGGCGGUCCUUUAAGUCUGAUGUGAAAGCCCACGGCUCAACCGUGGAGGGUCAUUGGAAACUGGAGGACUUGAGUACAGAAGAGGAAAGCGGAAUUCCACGUGUAGCGGUGAAAUGCGUAGAGAUGUGGAGGAACACCAGUGGCGAAGGCGGCUUUCUGGUCUGUAACUGACGCUGAGGCGCGAAAGCGUGGGGAGCACACAGGAUUAGAUACCCUGGUAGUCCACGCCGUAAACGAUGAGUGCUAAGUGUUAGGGGGUUUCCGCCCCUUAGUGCUGCAGCUAACGCAUCUAAGCACUCCGCC